AAAAGAUUUGUUGUGAGGCUCUUUCCCUAAGCAGCCUUAGGUAAUCUGUGAAAAUGGUUCGCUAUUCACUUGACCCGGAGAACCCCAUGAAAUCAUGCAAAUCAAGAGGUUCCAAUCUUCGUGUUCACUUUAAGAACACUCGUGAAACUGCUCAGGCCAUCAAGGGUAUGCAUAUACGAAAAGCCAUGAAGUAUCUGAAAGAUGUCACUUUACAGAAACAGUGUGUACCUUUCCGAUGUUACAAUGGUGGAGUUGGCAGGUGUGCGCAGGCCAAGCAGUGGGGCUGGACACAAGGUCGGUGGCCCAAAAAGAGUGCUGAAUUUUUGCUGCACAUGCUUAAAACCGCAGGGAGUAAUGCUGAACUAAGGGUUUAGAUGUAGAUUCUGUGGUCAUUGAGCAUAUCCAAGUGAACACAGCACCUAAGAUGCGCCGCCGGACCUACAGAGCUCAUGGUCGGAUUAACCCAUACAUGAGCUCUCCCUGCCACAUUGAGAUGAUCCUUACGGAAAAGGAACAGAUUGCUCCUAAACCAGAAGAGGAGGUAGCCCAGAAGAAAAAGAUAUCCCAGAAGAAACUGAAGAAACAAAAACUUAUGGCACGGGAGUAAAUUCAGCAUUAAAAUAAAUGUAAUUAAAAGGAAAAAAAAAAAGAUUUGUUGUGAGGAGUUAGAAUA